AAGACUGUACUUUAGGGUCAUUUCUAUAGUUUGUGACUUGAGAAAUGUUUUCUAAAGUGUUGGUCCGCUGCCCCCACGAUGAACGGUUGAUGAUGCCUUCCUUCUUGAACAUGGAAGAAAGUAGAGAUUGGUUCCAUCCAUGUUCUCUGCUACUUGAUGACUGUUCACCUGUUUCUUCAAUUAACAGUUAUGAAGAAAGGAGUAUGAUCUGAGUUGG
rnacentral:snoRNA from 1 species